rnacentral:sRNA from 26 species
AUUUUGCGUUAGGGAUAGCAGCGAAAAUCCUCCCGAUUUUUCUUCGGGAGAUUGUAGCGUAUAGCCCGACCCUUU